UCCCUCACCAGCCCUAGUAGCUUAAACCCACCUUAAAGCGUCG
rnacentral:tRNA from 1 species